GAUGAACGCUGGCGGCGUGCCUAAUACAUGCAAGUCGAGCGAACGGACGAGAAGCUUGCUUCUCUGAUGUUAGCGGCGGACGGGUGAGUAACACGUGGAUAACCUACCUAUAAGACUGGGAUAACUUCGGGAAACCGGAGCUAAUACCGGAUGAUAUUUUGAGCCGCAUGGUUCAAAAGUGAAAGACGGUCUUGCUGUCACUUAUAGAUGGAUCCGCGCUGCAUUAGCUAGUUGGUAAGGUAACGGCUUACCAAGGCAACGAUGCAUAGCCGACCUGAGAGGGUGUUCGGCCACACUGGAACUGAGACACGGUCCAGACUCCUACGGGAGGCAGCAGUAGGGAAUCUUCCGCAAUGGGCGAAAGCCUGACGGAGCAACGCCGCGUGAGUGAUGAAGGUCUUCGGAUCGUAAAACUCUGUUAUUAGGGAAGAACAUAUGUGUAAGUAACUGUGCACAUCUUGACGGUACCUAAUCAGAAAGCCACGGCUAACUACGUG
rnacentral:rRNA from 1 species